AGUGAACGCUGGCGGUAGGCCUAACACAUGCAAGUCGGACGGCAGCACAGUAAGAGCUUGCUCUUACGGGUGGCGAGUGGCGGACGGGUGAGGAAUACAUCGGAAUCUACUUUUUCGUGGGGGAUAACGUAGGGAAACUUAUGCUAAUACCGCAUACGACCUACGGGUGAAAGCAGGGGAUCUUCGGACCUUGCGCGAUUGAAUGAGCCGAUGUCGGAUUAGCUAGUUGGCGGGGUAAAGGCCCACCAAGGCGACGAUCCGUAGCUGGUCUGAGAGGGUGAUCAGCCACACUGGAACUGAGACACGGUCCAGACUCCUACGGGAGGCAGCAGUGGGGAAUAUUGGACAAUGGGCGCAAGCCUGAUCCAGCCAUACCGCGUGGGUGAAGAAGGCCUUCGGGUUGUAAAGCCCUUUUGUUGGGAAAGAAAAGCAGCAGGUUAAUACCCCGCUGUUCUGACGGUACCCAAAGAAUAAGCACCGGCUAACUUCGUG
rnacentral:rRNA from 1 species